GAAGGUAUAGCUCAGUGGUAGAGCGCAUGCUUAGCAUGCACAAGGUCCUGGGUUCGAUCCCCAGUACUGCCA
rnacentral:tRNA from 1 species